AGCCCUGAGAUGAGUCUUCCCUGACAGUUUAACUGUCCUAAAGGGUUGUUCGAGACUAGAACGUUGAUAGGCAGGGUGUGUAAGCGUUGUGAGGCGUUGAGCUAACCUGUACUAAUUGCCCGUGAGGCUUAACCAU
rnacentral:rRNA from 1 species